rnacentral:rRNA from 1 species
CUACGGGCCGCACCAGUGGGGAAUAUUGCGCAAUGGGGGAAACCCUGACGCAGCGACGCCAUGUGAGGGAUGAAGGCUUUCGGGUCGUAAACCUCUGUCAGGAGGGAAGAAACUGAUUGAACCUAAUACGUUCUUUCACUGACGGUACCUCCAGAGGAAGCACCGGCUAACUCCGUGCCAGCAGCCGCGGUAAUACGGAGGGUGCGAGCGUUAAUCGGAAUCACUGGGCGUAAAGCGCGCGUAAGCGGCGCGGUAAGUCAGACGUGAAAGCCCUCGGCUCAACCGGGGAAUUGCGUUUGAUACUGCCGUGCUGGAGUAUCGGAGAGGAUGGCGGAAUUCCAGGUGUAGGAGUGAAAUCCGUAGAUAUCUGGAGGAACACCAUUGGCGAAGGCGGCCAUCUGGACGAUUACUGACGCUGAGGUGCGAAAGCGUGGGGAGCAAACAGGAUUAGAUACCCGCGUAGUC